AGUGAACGCUGGCGGUAGGCCUAACACAUGCAAGUCGAACGGCAGCACAGGAGAGCUUGCUCUCUGGGUGGCGAGUGGCGGACGGGUGAGGAAUACAUCGGAAUCUACUUUUUCGUGGGGGAUAACGUAGGGAAACUUACGCUAAUACCGCAUACGACCUACGGGUGAAAGCAGGGGACCUCCGGGCCUUGCGCGAUUGAAUGAGCCGAUGUUGGAUUAGCUAGUUGGCGGGGUAAAGGCCCACCAAGGCGACGAUCCGUAGCUGGUCUGAGAGGAUGAUCAGCCACACUGGAUCUGAGACACGGUCCAGACUCCUACGGGAGGCAGCAGUGGGGAAUAUUGGACAAUGGGCGCAAGCCUGAUCCAGCCAUACCGCGUGGGUGAAGAAGGCCUUCGGGUUGUAAAGCCCUUUUGUUGGGAAAGAAAUCCAGCUGGCUAAUACCCGGUUGGGAUGACGGUACCCAAAGAAUAAGCACCGGCUAACUUCGUGCCAGCCGCCGCCGUAA
rnacentral:rRNA from 1 species